GCCAUUUCUAGAUCAUUCUACCAUCCUAAAAGGGAUCUAGAGUAAAUGAUUGUGGACUCCUGGGCUGAUUGGAUCCAAAAUAUGCUAAUCAUUCACAUUAUUUGGUUCAUUCAUUAGGCAGCCUUUUUUUUUUUUUUUUUGAGGAAGAUUGGCCCUGAGCUAACAUCCGUGCCCGUCUUCCUCUACUUUAAAUGUGGGAUGCCCACCACAGCAUGGCCUGAUAAGUGGUGCAUGUGUCCACGUCCGAGAUCUGAACCAGCCAACCCCGAGUCUCUGAAGCAGAGUGUGCGAACUUAACUGCUAUGCCACUGGACUGGCCCCUAGGCAAUCAUUUUCAAGCAUAUACCACGUGCUAGGUCAUAUGGGUAUGGCAACCAACAGCAUGGACACAAACCUUGCUCUCUAGGAGCUUACGGUCUAGUGGAGGAGCCAAGAAGUAAAUAGGGAAUUACAAAAUGAUGUAAUGGUGUAAGAAAGGUCAGCUCAAGGUAUGAUGUCUCAUUAGACCAAAGGACAACUUUUAUCAAACUUGUAACUUUAAAUCUGGCCCAACAUCCAGGUUCCUGGACUCAUUCAGAGAGCUGCAUAUAUGAACUACAGAGGACUCUAAUUUAUCUGCCCCAGUCUUGAUUUCUGGACUGGAGUACAGCCCAGGUCCCAUCCAUUCUGAGAGACCUUCCAGAUGGUCACAUGGACAGGAUACAAUGACCAAGAACCAGGAGCAAAGUGAACGGGAGAAACAGAAUUGUCAGGACGUUUGAAGAGGGGAGCAAUCAGCCCACUGAGAUAGCACAUCUUUUCUUCAAGUACAAAAUAUUGGAACAAGGAUUCUGUAAGCCAUCACAGGAAGCCACUGCCUUUUUACUCAGAUUUAUCAAGUCCUCAUUACACAGGAAGACAAGGGACUUUUCACCUCCUCUCAAUCAGCUCGGUUGUACAAUUCU
rnacentral:lncRNA from 1 species